GGAUAGUUCAGUCCAUAGAGCAAGAGGCUCUUAAACUUAGGGUCAUGGGUUCGAGUCCCAUGUUGGACA